CGGAUACACUUUCAACUGCUUGAGGAUAAGAUCUUGACCCAACUUGCGCCCUGGUUGGGAAAACAUGUGGCCGCUCCUGGGAGGGUUGUUUUGGUAAACUCUGUUCUCACGACCAUUGCCAUUUACUUAAUGACGGCCUUGAAUCUUUCGGUUGAACUACUAAACAAGAUUGAUGCUCUGCGGCGGGCUUAUUUUUGGGCAGGAUGUGAUAAAGUUACCGGAGGCAAGUGCAAAAUUAGCUGGGAGCAAGUUUGCAAAUCAAAAACUCAAGGAGGCCUGGGUAUUCUAAACCUUAAAAAGUUUGCCGCUGCAUUGCGUAUUCAGUGGUUGUGGUUUGAAUGGAUGGACCCGAUCAAACCUUGGGUGGGUCUCAGGAACCCAUGUGACAAGACCGACCAUGCCAUUUUCGGGGCUGCUACAAAGGUGGAAAUAGGGGAUGGCCUUCGUGCUUCUUUCUGGGAGUCUGCCUGGCUCGAGGGGUUACGACCCAAAGAUAUCGCCCCCCGCAUCUUCCUGCUGUCCAAAAGGAAGAAUUGUUGUGUCCAAAAGGCCAUGCACAACAACUUCUGGGUCACCCAAAUCAACAUCAGCGCGGGCAUCUUUGUUGACUACCUAACGGAGUUUGCUAAUCUUUGGGAAAAGCUAUCUUUCAUCCAUCUUAAU
rnacentral:rRNA from 1 species